GGAAAAUGAACAACAACCAUAGCAACUUGCCUUUACUCUCUUGGUUUCUCAUGAUUUUGCUCAAACAACAACGAAACGACCCUCCUUUCGCUCUUGGUCUCUCUCACGAUCUCUCUCUGCUCGUUUUUUCUCUCUGCAAAUGACAACAGCAACAAUUCUUCUCUCUCGGUGCUCACGGUGAUGAAUAAUUGAAGAACAUGAAAUUCUUCCUCUCGACCACUCUCUUUGCUAUCGGUGUGCACUCGGUUUGGUUGAUUGAAGACAAGCUGAAGGAGACCAACAAGGACAAAAAUAACUAACAGCAAUUUUGAGUGUGAAAGUGGAAACAACUUACUUGCGGCAAGGAGGUUUUUGCCGGAUUUUGUGCUGAGCUAUGCACAAGAAUAACAUAUUUGCAGCAAUGAUUAAACAAUAAUAUUGAGAGUGAAAGUGUGGAUGACUUACCUACGGCGAGGAGGUUUUCGCCGGAUUAUUGUUGAAGGAUCCUUUGAUGAAGAUGAUACCACCUUUUUGGAUAUUAGGGAGACUUGAAGAUGGACUUCAAGUUGGAACUCUCCACCAAGGUAUGAAGAAUUUCUUCUUCACUCCCCUUCAAGAACUAUGUAGCUAGAAACUCUUAUGUUUUUUUCAAGUAGUUUUCUUUGAUUUGAAGAAUUUCUCCUUCUCACAAAGAAACAUGAAAACUAUAAGAGAAGAGGAAGAAGUGAGAAAGCUAGUAGUAUAGUAGCUUUGGUGUGUUUUGCAAUGAAGUGAGGCCUUCUAUUUAUAGGAAAAGUUAAGGAAGUGUUUGGCAUUUGGUAAACUUGAAUGGCAAGUUUCAAUCAUUGCAAGAUAAGAAAAAGAAUAAGAAUAUUCUUUAUGAGAUUUUUCUCUUGCAAGUGGACAUGAAAUAUCUUUGAUUCCUUUUUGAAUUAUUUCUUUUUUUUGAAUUAUUUCCUUUGUUGGAUUUUUGCUAAUCCCACCCCUUUUUGUCUUGAAUUAUUCUUUUGCUAAAUUCACCCCUCUUAUGUUUCUUUUUCAUGUUGCAUGAGGACUUUGAAGAAAGCAUGAAGAAGCUUGAACUUGAAGGAUGAAGACUUUGAAGAUUGAAGAAUUCAAGAAAGCAUUGCAUUUUCUUUUAUUCUUUGUAAUCCAAAUUUAUUCCACUUUAGAAUUGUAUGAACUUGUAUUCUUGAAAGUGAAUAGAAUUUUGGAAUGAUGUAAUUCUUGAAUUUUGGAUUCAUUUGUUCCAUGUAAAGAAACAUCAUUUGUAAAUGCUUGAAUUUCUCUUAGAA